GGGUAGGUACCGAAGCGGUCAAACGGGGCAGACUGUAAAUCUGCUGGCUAUGCCUUCAGNGGUUCGAAUCCNCUCCUGCCCACCA
rnacentral:tRNA from 2 species